UACAGAGGUGGCGAGCGUUGUUCGGAUUUACUGGGCGUAAAGGGUGCGUAGGUGGUUUUGUGUGUCGGACGUGAAAGCCCACUGCUUAACGGUGGAACUGCGUUCGAAGCUGCAGAGCUUGAGUUCAGGAGAGGAGAGCGGAAUUCUCGGUGUAGCGGUGGAAUGCGUUGAUAUCGAGAAGAACACCGGUGGCGUAGGCGGCUCUCUGGAAUGACACUGACACUGAGGCACGAAAGCGUGGGGAGCAAACAGGAUUAGAUACCCUGGUAGUCCACGCCCUAAACGGUGCACACUUGGUGUAGGAGGAAUUGACCCCUUCUGUGCCGGAGCUAACGCGUUAAGUGUGCCGCCUGGGGAGUACGGUCGCAAGAUUAAA
rnacentral:rRNA from 1 species